AGAGUUUGAUCAUGGCUCAGGACGAACGCUGGCGGCGUGCUUAAUACAUGCAAGUCGAACGUGGUCCAUCCGAUCUUCGGAUCGGAGAAGAUCAGUGGCGAACGGGUGCGUAACACGUGAGGAACCUGCCCCAGUCUCCGGAAUAACGAGUGGAAACAUUUGCUAAUACCGGAUGACGUCUGACCACCACCUGGUGGACAGCCGAAAGAUUUAUCGGACCGGGAGGGUCUCGCGGCCUAUCAGCUUGUUGGUGAGGUAACGGCUCACCAAGGCAUCGACGGGUAGCUGGUCUGAGAGGAUGAUCAGCCACACUGGGACUGAGACACGGCCCAGACUCCUACGGGAGGCAGCAGUAGGGAAUCUUGCACAAUGGGCGAAAGCCUGAUGCAGCAACGCCGCGUGCGGGAUGAAGGCCUUAGGGUUGUAAACCGCUUUCAGCAGGAAGAAACUGACGGUACCUGUAGAAGAAGGUGCGGCUACUACGUGCCAGCAGCGCGGUAAUACGUAGGUGGCAAGCGUUGUCCGGAUUUACUGGCGUAAAGGGUGUGUAGGCGGAUGUUUAAGUAGAAAGUGAAAGGUUGGAGCUCAUCCAACACUGCUUCCUAUACUGGGCGUCUUGAGUACCGGAGAGGAGAUGGAACGACACGUGUAGCGGUGAAAUGCGUUGAUAUGGGUCGGACACAUGGCGAGCAGUCUUCUGGACGGUACUGACGCUGAGACAAAAGCAAGGGAGGCGACCAGGAAUAGAUACCCUGGUAGUCUGGCCUAAAUUAUGUCACUAGGGUGUC
rnacentral:rRNA from 1 species